rnacentral:tRNA from 1 species
ACCAGAGUGGUGGAAUGGCAGACACGUCGGCUUUAGGUGCCGAUGCCCUAUGGGCGUGAGGGUUCGACUCCCUCCUCUGGUA